GAUGAACGCUGGCGGCGUGCUUAACACAUGCAAGUCGAACGAUGAAGCCCAGCUUGCUGGGUGGAUUAGUGGCGAACGGGUGAGUAACACGUGAGUAACCUGCCCUUAACUCUGGGAUAAGCCUGGGAAACUGGGUCUAAUACCGGAUAGGAGCGUCCACCGCAUGGUGGGUGUUGGAAAGAUUUAUCGGUUUUGGAUGGACUCGCGGCCUAUCAGCUUGUUGGUGAGGUAAUGGCUCACCAAGGCGACGACGGGUAGCCGGCCUGAGAGGGUGACCGGCCACACUGGGCCUGCGACACGGCCCAGACUCCUACGGGAGGCAGCAGUGGGGAAUAUUGCACAAUGGGCGCAAGCCUGAUGCAGCGACGCCGCGUGAGUGAUGACGGCCUUCGGGUUGUAAACCUCUUUCAGUAGGGAAGAAGCGAAAGUGACGGUACCUGCAGAAGAAGCACCGGCUAACUACGUG
rnacentral:rRNA from 1 species